GGCGGACGGGUGAGUAACACGUGGGUAACCUGCCUGUAAGACUGGGAUAACUCCGGGAAACCGGAGCUAAUACCGGAUAGUUCCUUGAACCGCAUGGUUCAAGGAUGAAAGACGGUUUCGGCUGUCACUUACAGAUGGACCCGCGGCGCAUUAGCUAGUUGGUGAGGUAACGGCUCACCAAGGCGACGAUGCGUAGCCGACCUGAGAGGGUGAUCGGCCACACUGGGACUGAGACACGGCCCAGACUCCUACGGGAGGCAGCAGUAGGGAAUCUUCCGCAAUGGACGAAAGUCUGACGGAGCAACGCCGCGUGAGUGAUGAAGGUUUUCGGAUCGUAAAGCUCUGUUGUUAGGGAAGAACAAGUGCAAGAGUAACUGCUUGCACCUUGACGGUACCUAACCAGAAAGCCACGGCUAACUACGUGCCAGCAGCCGCGGUAAUACGUAGGUGGCAAGCGUUGUCCGGAAUUAUUGGGCGUAAAGGGCUCGCAGGCGGUUUCUUAAGUCUGAUGUGAAAGCCCCCGGCUCAACCGGGGAGGGUCAUUGGAAACUGGGAAACUUGAGUGCAGAAGAGGAGAGUGGAAUUCCACGUGUAGCGGUGAAAUGCGUAGAGAUGUGGAGGAACACCAGUGGCGAAGGCGACUCUCUGGUCUGUAACUGACGCUGAGGAGCGAAAGCGUGGGGAGCGAACAGGAUUAGA
rnacentral:rRNA from 1 species